rnacentral:lncRNA from 1 species
CCUCAUCCUUCUCACAGCUCAGGAGACAUUUGACUCACUUCCCCAGCUGCUCCGCCAUUCUCCAUGGUAGCAAGCAGGUUACAGUGUUUACAGAGCCCAUUACCAAUAUACUCUAAGUCUCUUCAAUUAAAUGCCCUGCUAAUACAUGGGUUGGAUGCAUCCCUCUGUGAGCACGUGGGCGUUCUGCUGCAACUGCCUGGCUUUGGGUCCCCACGUCUGUCUUCCAGCUGGACUUUGCCUAUUCCUACAGUGGAAAGUAACAUGAGGUUCCCUGGUUUUAAGAUAUCUGCACCCACCCACAGGAGGAAGUUCACCUUCGAGCGAGGCCCCACGCUUCCCUCUUUGACAGUUUUCUGUUCCAUCUUCUUCUAUACCCAUGCUGAGCCUUCCUCCACCCUGACCAUCUUCAUUAAAACUCCAUUUCACCUUGAACCAAUAUGUGUUGGUUUUCGUAAUUCCUGGAACUUGACAAGAAAUGGUAGAAUAUUUAAUUAUACACAAGCAGUUCUCAACAUAUGGGUCGCAAGGCCUUUGACAAACCUCUAUCUCCAGAAAUAUUUACAUUACGAUUCAGAAUAAUAGCAAAAUUUCAGUUAUGAAGUAACCAUGAAUAUAAUUUUAUGGUUAAUGGUGUUAAAGGGUCACAGCAUUAAGAGGUUGAGAACCACUGUUAUACAGCAACAACAACUAAAGCACUUAAGUUUAGAAGACAUGUAACUGUGCUUGGCUUAUGGAACCCAGAGCUGUUGUUGGUAAUGAGUUAAUGGACUCAUUAGACCAGUACAUAUGGUAUAAGUAGGUGACAUCAGUAAUGGCUGACCACACUAAGGCAAGAAACAAUGAACACAGAGGGGACAGGUUGAAGGAGAACAUGGGAUGCCACGUAAAUCCUGGGGGAGUAGAAAGACUGAGAGAAAGUGAAACAGAACAAUAAAAAAUAGAGAAAUGAGAAUUGUGACAAAGUGAUAUGAAAGAAACCAAGAAGGAAAGGGGAAAACACACAAGCAAUAACAAAAAAAAAAAAUAUAUAUCAGGAAGGCAGGGCAGAGAAGCAGGUUCCAGGUCUGCAAGGCUGAGGUUGCUAGAAACCCCAGUAACUCCAGUCCUCUUGAAUAUUUUGUAUUACCUCCCCCCCUUACAUGGGAAGGAGAUACAGUGCAUGCUGGAAGUAGAGCAAAAGAAAUGAAGUGAACUCCAACUUAAUGACUUAAGAGGUAAUGUUGUAUACUUAGAACAA